rnacentral:lncRNA from 1 species
AUGGUCCCCGUUGACCGGCCAGGGCCCAGACCAGUCACUGUUGGCACCCACUCCCCAAACAGGCCGAAGAAAGAUUCUGGGGGAACAAAGGAGCCUCUGGCUGGUUUUGUGGGUGGCGUGUAUGUUUAUAUCUGGGAAAAAAAGAAGUUCCGGGCUGGUCGGUCGGCUCCAGGAGUGGGCCGGGGGCGGGGGGCCAGGGUGGAGUUGGGGUCUCCUGGCCAGCCCCGGGCUGGCCCUGGCCGGAGCCGGCCUGCACGGCUCUCCUCUGCUCCGCACCUCGGGCAGGCGCCGUGCCAGGCCAGGGUGCGGCCACCCGGCGGCGAGGAGGGGCUGCCCUGGCCCCGGCUGCUCUACCCUGCUCUCCAGGGCGGGCAGGAGGCAGGAUGGAUGUUCGCAAUAAUUACCCAGCUGCAGCCUCCCCAGAGCUGCCGCCAUAGCAACGGUGCCGGGCGCCCCAGCCGAGCGGCCAAGUGGCAGGAGGGGGUGCGGGCGCUCUGGGCAGGUCGGGGAGGGGGUGGCACGAGCCCUGGGCGCAGCCCCACUGGCUCCCUUUGUCAUCUCCCUCGCCCGCCCGCCCCCUCCCCAGAGGCCAGGGGCGGGGGCUUUGUCUGGGCACCGAGAGGCUGGUGCGGCCCAGGGGAGUCUCAGGCAGAGGCCCCGUCCCCGCUGCUGGGGGCCCGUGGGGCAAGAGGAAGCAGGUGCUGGAGGGCUGGGGGUGCUCGGGGUCCCUGUGGUUCAGGGCUCAACUUGGGACUGAUGCUGCCACCUGGGUGCCCAUGGCACACCCCAGGACCCCCACAGUGGGAUCGCUGGGCAUGCCUCAGAGCGGUGUUUGUGACCCUUCUCACCUGCCCGGGGUCUGGGGGAGCCAGCCCAGAGCAGCCUUGGGCAAGACAGGCUUUGUGGGGUGUUGUCUGUGGGAGAGGCCCUGGGCCUGGGGCUGUGCUUUGGGACUCAGCAAACCCUGCCCUCAUGGCACCUAUUCCCCUCCACUCCGUAGUAGAGGCCCCAUCAGCCUCCCUCCUGUGA